GCGGGCGUGGCGUAGUGGUAGCGUGCGACCCUUCCAAGGUUGAGGUGCGGGUUCGAUUCCCGCCGCCCGCUCCA
rnacentral:tRNA from 1 species